CUGGGGCGGGCGGCGGAGGAGGGGGAGGCGAAGCGAGGCGAGGCGGCAGCGCGCGGCCGGGAGGAAGCCGCGUUAUAUUGUAGGUUUGGAAGGCACCCACCGCUUCCAUCAGGGCCAGCCCCAUCGCUGUCGCAUGCUGGGCUCCUACCCCGGAGCUGCAGCACACAAUCUCAUGUUACACAGAACCUUGACACGAGGGAGCAACUUUAUUGGACAUCAGCAUCAUUCUGACGACAACACUGUCUUCAGCACAGGUCACCAGAGUCUGGCAGGGUACAUGAAACCCAAACGCCCAUCCUACCAGAGGCCAAUAAAAACUUACCAGUUUCUCUUAUAAGAUUUUAAAGUCUCAGAUGCAUUUCUUGGAGGAUAAAACUCCAAUCGUUUGGGAAGUCCCUCACAGUCCGUCCUCUCCUGCCCUGCUUCCCAGUACUGCUGUGCUGCAGCGGGAAGCGAGCAGGGAUUCCUCCUCGCUGCCCAGCAUGAACCCCCAGACACGGCCAGCGGGAGCCUGGGAAGGGCAGCAGGAGCGGGGUGUAAAGCAGCAGGAUGGCUGCCACGUUUUGCUAAGCGACAGGAGCGAGCGGUUUGGUGAGAGCAGUGUUUGCAUUGAACGCAGUCCUGACGUUCGGAGCCCAGGAGGCAUCGUGCCAGCUAUGCCUUCUGGCUCCUCACACACCUCACAGCAAACUGAACCUCCAGGAGGAUACUUUCAUACAGAGUAAGUGAACGCAGAGCCCAGGAGCACACCAUGCCAGCCCAUGGAGCCUCACGGAGAGGCCUCGUAGCUCAGCUCCGCUUUGUCUCGUGCUGUGGGAGCAGGCCUGUUACCGGCCCCGAGCCGGGCUGCGGCCGUCAUUUGCUGCAUCUGGGUUACGCACAACGGAACGCCCCAGCAUUUGGGAAGCGUUUCAGUAGAGGCCCGGUUGUGCUCGGCAGCCCUCUGCAGGCAGGCGGGGCGGCGGGAGCUCCGGCACUGCUUGGCACUCGCAGACGAAAGCACACAGCUCGGUGCUCCCGCACAGCCAUCCCUCCUUCCUGCACCCACAGCUGCUGCCUGCUUCCCAGCGCCUGCCUACAGCGGGCUUCUCUUCUCCUGGAAGCAGCCAGCACGGUUGGGCACUACGCAGAAGCCUUCUGAAAGUGAUGCUGGUCACAGUUGCUCAGGUGUCACGGCAAGCGUGCAGCCUCAUGCAGAACAUCCAUCGAUGCAUUUAAACCGUUUGUGAACAAGAUUUCACGACACUGCAGUCGGGCUCCUAUUCUGUUAUCACUCAAAGCACGCUGCUGUGUGAGAGCUGCCUUUGGCCUCCAUCCAUUGCAGUACCAUGGCCCAAGGAAGGGCUGUGUUGAAGACUUGAAGCUCCUUCUGCAGUUCAGAGUUCUUUCACCUGGGCUUACAAGGAGCAUGACACAACUAAUCCUGAACGGUAACGCAGAGCAUUCUGAGCUAAUACAGCUCCUGAAGGCAGCAAGGAGCUCGUUUGUUACCACUAAACCAGAAGUUUGCAAAGAGAAAGUUUUAGAAUGUUUGUCAGUUUUUUCUUUGUUUCAAUUUGCUGAGAGCGUGUGGUAAAGCAGAAGGUAGCACCUAAAUAAAUUGAUCUGGAUGAAGGAGUUUGAUCUGGAUGAGAGGAUUGAGUGCAUCCUCAAUAAGUUGGCAGAUGACACCAAGUUGGCGGAACUGCCGAUCUGCCUGAGGGCAGGAAAGCCCCACAGAGCGACCUGGACAGACUGGAUUGCUGGGUUGGGGCCAAUGGGAUGAAGUCCAGUAAGAACAAGUGCUGGGUCCUGCACUUUGGCCACAACCCCAGGCAAUGCUACAGGCUUGGGGCAGAAUGGCUGGAAGAUUG